CAAAGUGUUCCUCUGACACCCUUCUCCCCUGAAACUGGCUUCAUCUCCUUCGAAAUCAGUUCCAAUGGCAAACGUAAUGUGCAUGAGGCCUUCCACAUAGGAAAGCACUGAUUCAUUGCCUUCUUGUAGGGAUUUCAAGACGCUGAAAGUCCUCAUGUAAAGCGUGGAAACGAUCAGCAUCGUUUCACGGCGUCAAACUCCUUAAAGCAGCAGUAAGUAGCUCUAGUGGUUGUCUGGUAGACAGUCACUGGAGGCAGUCUUUACCCA